UUAAGGGUUGUCGCUAAAGAAAGGAGAAAACAGUCAAACACACAUUUGCGAAGCGUUCUGAGUAUUUUUGGUAAAGACCUAAAAGAGAUAUCCGACGAAGCUCCGGCGAACCCCAGCUUUUACUCCGAGCGACCCUUCUUCCGAAUCCUCUUACGCCGCCCCUGGAUCUCACCCCUCGUUUCUCAAGCUCCAACAAUCUCCACCAUUACUCAAGGAGAUGACUUCUACAAGCGGUGCGAAGAUCUCAAUGUUUGGUGGUGCCAAGACUGGAUUUGUUAUCCCUAAGAACAAAUUAUCUGGAUCAUUGAUCCCGAUUUUUCAACGUGGCACUACUAAUAAGACCCUAGAAGGUGCUGAUAAAGAUAGUGGACUUCACUCGAAGCUGGGGAAGAGAAAGACUAAAUGGGGUCCUGACUUGUCACAAGAUAUUGGAGUCAAGAAAGCUCGAGUUUUAGCUUACCAGUUUUGCCUGUUGGUACUAAACACGCAUCGGCGUCUUCUGUGAAUUGUCCAAAAUGGAAAAAUCCAUGUCAGGUACCACUAUGUGAUAAACUGCGU